CGCUCUCACACUCUCCCGCUCUCUCUCUCUCUCUCUCUCUCUCGUUUCUGCCUCUCUUUCCCGCGCUCUCUCUCGUUUCUGCCCUUCCCUCCUGCAGAAUAUCUCUCUCUCUCUCUCUCUCUCGCGUUUCCGCCCCCCUUCUCUCUCGCUCUUGCUCUCGCUCUUCCUCGAAGUAUUGCUGCGGGAGAUCUCUCAGCGUUUCUUAAUUUAGGUAUUCUGUGGUAAUUUAUCCAUUGGUGUAACUCCAGCUCCACUUUCCUUACUGCUAACAAGGAGUCCUCCCUCUAAGGUGGCCUAGAAGAUAGGAGAUGUUCUAUUCGCAUACCUUUCUGGCCAGAAAGGGCCCACUCGGGACAGUGUGGUGUGCUGCUCACCUACAACAUCGCCUCAAAAAGUCUCACUACACUUCCACUGAUAUCUCCUCCACUGUUGAUCGCAUCAUGUUCCCUGAAGUUCCCAUCGCACUUAGAAUGUCUGGCCACCUACUGUUAGGUGUUGUUCGGAUAUAUUCAAAGAAAGUUGAUUAUCUUUACCAUGAUUGCAAUGUCAUUCUUAUUGGCUUAAGAAAGGCCUUCGCUUCCACAGAAGUUAAUUUGCCAGAGAAUGCCACAACAGCAAAAUUUGAAUCUGUUACUUUGCCACAAACAUUUGACCUUGAUGCCUUGGAUGUGGACUUGGACGUAUAUCCUGAUGGGUCUCCGGAUACUCAUACUAGGAGUCAGGAGGAGAUAACACUUCAAGAUCAAAUUCCUACCGGCAGGGAUCCUUAUGUUAUUAUAACUUUUGAUGAGGAUAUUAUGAUGGAUGCAUUACCACCAGAACAAGAUUUUGAUUCAGGGGUUCAGCCAAUGGACAAGAAUGUCCUUCCUCAAUCAAUGGUUGAUACUCCCCAUGCCAGUCCAAUGGAUCAGAUGCAAUUACCAACAGAAACUCUUGAUCUUCAAGAACCGGGUCCAAGUAAUCAGGCAGAAGUGCCUAUGGACACUGUUGAUAAUCAAGAAGCUCCAAGCAACCAAACAGAAAUACGAAGUGAAACUUUGGAUUUUCAGGAUCCUGUUCAGAGCAACCAGGCAGAACUACGAACUGACACUCUGGAUGUACGAGAUUCUGGUCCGAGCAACCAAACUGAGGUUCUAAAUUCAGUACUUAACAAUGGAAAUUCCCCUCUAGAAAUUGAAGUUAUGCGUGAUCUGGUCCAUGGUUUUAGCUCAGAAAAUCUUCCUGCAGUAUUUCCAGGUCAUCAAAAUGAUGCAUCUGAUCCUAACAAAUCUUUAGAUCUAGGUUUGAAUCAGAAGGAAAUUCCUUCUCCAUUUAAGGAAGAUACGAUGCCAUCUGGAGGGCAAUCUUCACCAUUUCUGCAAUGUCCAGAGCCCCUCAAUUCUGCUGCUUCGCAACAGGCACCCGAAGUCUUUGAUACAUGUACUUCAUUUAGGAACAUAUCACCUGAACUCGCCAUGCGUCCAACUCCACCUGUUCAGCAGCCAAGACCAAGGCAGAGAAAGAGAAAGCAUUUCUUUGAUGAGUCCACGGUGUUAACUAAUAAGUUUAUGAAGAAGGCACUAGAAGAUUCUAGUGACAUAUCAAGGAAAAGAAGGGAAAUCCCUUCCACCACUUUGGCCAUUUGGAAAUUGAACAACACUUUAAGGAAGGAACAAGUCUUUUAUGAGCCUUCAUUAACUGGGUCUUCUCCUGAGAUAUGCAAUCUUUUAAAUAAGGACUUUGUUCCUAUAAAAUGUCACUUGACUCUUGAAAGGGAAGCCAGUCCAGAUCCUAGGAUUGCAACCUCUCCUGCUUCUCCAACUGAAGUGAUUCCAGAAUCCAGGGAUGCAACUUCUCCAGCUGCAGCUACGGAAGUGAUCCCAGAGCCUAGGAUUGCAACUUCUGCCUCUGCAACUGAACACUUUCAAGGGCCUCCAGUUGCACAACCUCUUGCACCAGAAGCUGAACCCAAUCCAGAAAUUGAAUGUCUUCGGCAUCAUGAAGGCCAUGAUGGCAAUAGUAUGUUGCCAGAACUUUUGCCUUCUCCAGCCAGAGUAAUGACUUCUCCUGGAAGAUUUGUUUCUUCUCCUUUUACUAGAGAUGACUUCACUCCCAGCUCACUAAGAAGUCUGGAAUCAGAAAAAUUACCUUGGGCUGGUACAAAUACUGGAACUGAAGUGUUGCCUACACCAGAUAUUGCAGCAUCCACUGGAACUUACACUACUGAGCUGGAAACACCUAGGACAUUUUUGGAGGAGCAAUUUGAUAUGGGGCACACUGGACUUUCUAAUAUUCCUGAAUCGAUGAAUACUGCACAAACAGAGGACCUUUAUUUUCUUGAAGCUGACAAUUCCCCAGCUGGAUCUGAAGGCACUCAAGGUGAAUAUUCCCUGUCUGUGAGGACAAGGGCUGUGGCUCAAUAUUUAAAAGGAUGUUCACCAGUCACCCCAGUAUCAGAAGACCACUCUGGAGAUCUGAGUCUCAACAAGAUCUUACAAGGAAAAACAAGAAAGUUAUGUGCUCGGAUGUUCUUCGAAACACUAGUUUUGAAGAGUUAUGGGCUUAUUGAUGUACGACAGGAGCAACCUUACAGUGAUAUUACUUUGAAGUUGACUUCUACUUUCUCAAAGGCCCAAAUAUGAGCAUGACAUGAACUUGAUGGAUUUUGGGAGCUAUUCUGUAUAUAGGUACUGAUUUUGGGUUGCCAAGCGAAGAGAUGACUAGGACACGAUAUCAGAGGGAGAUGUACAGCUGCAGCAAUUUGAAUGUGGAAAUUUUGUGGCGAUGACUGGUCCACAUCCAAGUUCAUAGUGAGAUCCAGUUCGUAAUGCCUGUCAUUAUAAACCAUGAGGUUGCCUUAACUUAUUGUAAUUAGCUUUGCAAUUAUGGCCAUAACAUAUUGUAAUUAUUGGCUCGAUAUUUUAUCAUGUUUAGUUAUCUCUUUGCUAGUAAUCUAUAGGCUAUGGACAUAUCACAUGUCAAAGGUUAACCAAUAGGUUCAUACAGUUGAUAAACUGUAAUUUUGGAGCAAUUUUUUGGUGGGAAUACUGUCUGUCAAUGUAAGAAUCCAACAGUUUGGCUGCUUCGUUAUGUUUUGAUGGUUCUGUC